UCCUUUUCCCUCCAAAUUCAACAUGAGCUGGAGCUCUGAUUCAAUGGCUCAUUUUCUUUCUUUUCUUCGGUUGUAGUUUAUAUUUUCAGCGUCUCAAUGGAGUUCUGCUUCAAUGUACCGUAGACUAGCAUAAAACGGAAUUGUGAAGAUUGGGAACUACAUGGAAAGGAAGCAGAAGAGAAGAUUGCUAGGCAAAGAAAGUUGGAAGGUUGGAUCCAAACGAAUAAUACCCCACUACAGGUCUGCAUAUGAUAAUUUGUUCACCACAUUUCCAUGUUUUAAUUUGGGCAAUCUUCUUUUCUGGUGCAUGCAUAUAGCAAUGUUUGUUUUUUAAAAUUCAUUAGUAGGAAUCCUAUAUUGCAAAUAAAAUACAAAAUUAAGAUAGAUAACAGAGGGAUUUGUACAACUUCAGGGGUAAAAUAAAUAUCAGAGGUUUUGGACUAGUCUGGUUGAACGAUCUAUUAGGUUAACUUGCUUAAGUUACUUUCUAUUGCAGUUUAAAAUAGCAUAAGGCAGGGAAAGCAACAAAAAAAAAAAAAAA